rnacentral:lncRNA from 1 species
CUUUUUCAAAUCUGGUGUUUCCUAUUUUGCAUGGGAUUGUGAACAUUCCUGGAUCUUUACAUUUAGGAGGCAUUUUUCUUUGAAGAACAGCAGAUACAUUUUCUCCAACUGUGACUCUUUCAUCAUUUUGCAAUUUUCUUUUAUUAGUGCAUAAUUCUUUUAAAAAUUUAGCAUACCGUGGUACUUGUUUAAUUGCAUCAAGAAGAGGGAUGUUCACUUCUACUUUUCUAAAAGUUUCCAAAAUUUCUUUUUCUUUUUCAUUGUUCUUUGAAGUUUUAGAAAUUCUGGAAGGAAAGGGAAGAGGAAUGUUUUUAAGCUGAUUAGGAGGUUUAGGUUGUACCUUGGAUUUUUCUGUUCCCUCCUUAGCUGCUUCCUUCUUGAACUCUACGGGGGUCGGUGGUGUAUCCAACUGUGUUCCAUUCCGUAAAGUUAUGGCACUUGCAUUCUCCCUUGGGUUGACUACUGUUUGAGAUGGUAAUUUUCCUGAGCCUCUAGAUUCCAAUAUCCCCACAGUUGUAGCCAGUUGUCCUACUUGGUUCCUCAAAUCUUGAACCGAAGUUUUUGUCUCUUGCUGGAACUGCUGUGUCUGAUUCAUGAACUGUUGUGUCUGUCCCAUGAAUGCUUUGAACAUAUCCUCCAAUGAUGUUCCAGUAGGUGCAUGGACUGCUUGCUUCGGUUGAUAUUGAGGUUGGGCUGGUUGGAAGCCCUGCUGCCUAGGUGGAAAUGCAGGUGGUGCCGCUUGCUUGCUCCCAUAACUCAGACUUGGAUGAUCCCUCCAUCCUGGGUUAUAUGUGUUUGAGUACGGAUCAUACUUUUUCUGAGGUGGUGGCUGAUAAUUUCCCAUUGCAUUAGCUUGUUGCACAGCCUCGUCAUCUUGUAAUGUUGGGCAUUCAUCUGUAUUGUGAUUUGGUUGUAGACAUAUUCCACAAACCUUUGCAAUUGGCAAUUGACCUGUAGCUAAUUGUCUAACCAUAGCAGUUAAUUCAGAAAUUUGUUGACCAUAAUCACAAGUGCUUACCUCGCUUACCCUUACUGGUGCAUGAUUUGUUCUAGUGCCAUAUUGUUGUGAGUUUGCUGCCAUGUUUGCAAUUAAAUUCCUUGCCGCCUCUGGGGUCUUGUCAAAUAGUGCUCCUCCGCUAGCUGCAUCGAUCAUGCUUCUAUCCAUCGGUACCAACCCUUCGUAGAAAUACUGGAUCAGGUGUUGUUCAUCUAUUUGAUGCGGUGGACAGCUGGAACAAAGUUUUUUGAAUCUUUCCCAAUACUCGUAUAAUGUCUCCCCACUGAAUUGUCUAAUCCCACAGAUCUCCUUCCUUAUGUUGGCUACUCUUGAGGCUGGAAAGUAUCUCUCCAAGAAUAGCUGCUUCAUGUCAUUCCAAGACUGUAUUGAACCUGAGGGUAGGUAGUACAACCAAUCCUUUGCCAAAUCUGCUAGGGAGAAUGGGAAUGCUCUCAGCUUGAUUUGUUCUUCGGUGAUUCCGUUUGGUUUCAUAGUAGAGCACACCACAUGAAAUUCCUUCAGAUGUUUGUAGGGGUCUUCACCUGUAAGACCACGAAAAGUAGGCAGUAAAUGGAUUAGUCCAGAUUUAAGUUCAAAUGCAGCAUCUAAAUUAGGAUAUUCAAUGCACAGAGGUUGUUGAUUUAAAUUAGGAGUUGCCAACUCCCUGAGAGUUCUAUUGUUGUUUGGAAUCGCCAUCUCUUCUUCUUUGUCGGAUUCGUUGGAUAAUAAUUCCAAAGCUAAGUUGAGGCCUGGUGAUGAUGCAGAAGCCUCGUCUAUAUAUGCAGAAGACUGUUGAACUUUAAGUUUUUCCUUCUUUAGCCUCCUUGCAGUUUUCUCAAUCUCUGGAUCAAAAUCUAAUAUAGUAGCCUGAGAAGAUCGAGUCAUAAAACAAAAACAAAACAAAUAAUAGAAUAAAAACAAAACGCCAAAUUACUCCCCGGCAACGGCGCCAAAAUUUGGGAGCUGUCGUUGACACUCCUAAAUUAACCUCACUUUCACUCCACAAUUUACAAUAAUUAGCACAGUAGCAAGUAAGGAUCGAUCCCACAGAGAGUAAAGUUGUUUUAGAAUUAUUCUACUAUUUGAACAAAAAAAUAAAGAUGGGGGGUUUUGAAAAUUGUUUUUAAACUAAGAGAACAAGAAUUAAUGAUGAAAUUAACCAAAUAUGUAAAAACUUCAGUUCUGCAGUUCAGUUUCACCAAGUACAACAAUCAAUUAAUCAAGUAAUUAUUAUUUUCCCUUCAAUGAAAUUAUUAGCCCUAGAUAACAAUAAGCUCUGCUAUCCGAAAUUCUCCUUAGAUUAUCACUGUAUGAAACAAGCUCUCCACCAGAUUCUAACUAGCAUACAACUUAGGAAUAAGCUCUCUAGAUUUAAUAUGAUAGAAGCAUUAAGAAAUAGAGAAUUAGGCUAAUCCAAGCAACAAACACAUAAGCUCGAUUUGUUUAACUUGUUUUCUGAUGAUCUUAGCAAUAAACAAAAGCUUGUCCACAAUUAUUAUUACCAAGUUGCUACUUGUAAUGAAGAGAGAUAUCAAUUACACGUAAUACCAAUCUUAAUCUAGCACAUGAUAAUGAUCAAAUUAACUCAAUUGGCCAUAUUAAAUCAAUUAGAUCAAUUAGCAUGCAAUCAAUAAAAAUAGAUUAUCAGAAGAAAUUUCACACAAGAAGGAAUAAAUAAUAAUACUCAAUUAAUCAAUUACUUGUAACAAGGAUUCACCUCCCUUUAGAACUGAAUAAAAAGAACUGACAUGCUCUUGAGCCUUCAACCAAUAGAGGAUAGUUGAAUAUUGAAUAAUUGAAUGAAUAAAACCAUGACUCUCAUCCUCUAUUUAUAGUGCUAGACAAAGUCCUAAAUCCUAUAGGAAGUAGAAAUCUCAAUCCUAAAAGAAUUAUAAAUUACACUAAUUUCCAUAAAGAAAUAGAAUUCAAUUUAGAAAUAAAUCUUAGUCUAAAAGAAAUUCUAAUUAUAAUAGAAUUGUAAAAAUUAAUUUUCUAGAAUCCAAAAAUCAGAUUUAAAAUUGGAAUUAAAUUCCACAAUUUGUGUGUACCAACUCUUUAUGUCGCGUUCGGAUUCUUCAAUGUGCGUGAAUCAAUUUCCGCGUCCCACUUGAACAUAUAUGCUGAAUAUGAAUUUGCCAUAAUGUUACUUUGGAAUCUGUGCAUUACUCCUUGCAUGAAUCAGAUUGUGAGAGAAUUAAAUUGCCUAUGCUGAGUAAUAAAAACCAUGGCCCACGUGUAUGUAAUGUAGCAAUGUAAUAUAUCUGCUGCAUGCUUUUUUUUCUCUUUUCCUGAAUUUGUGAUAUCUCCCACGUUGGCCCACAUGAGUUUUAAUGACUCCUAAUUAAAUGACUUAAUUGGGUCAACCCAAUAAUACUGGACUUGUCCUCCCUUGAUCCAAUAAUGCCCAAUUUGUCUUCAAAUUAUUUCUAAAUUCACAGAGCCCAUCAAUUGUACCUAAAAUAAAAAUAUAAGAAUAAUGAGUUUAUUUAGGCACAAAAUAAAUACAAAAGAUUAAGUAUUAAGGAAUAAAAAUAUAACAUAUUUCAUAUUCAUCAAAUUCCCCUACACUUAUCUUUUUACACGUCUUCGUGUAAACCAAAAAUUUGAUUUCCAGAAAAAUUAUAUUCAACCACAGUGUCAAAAGAUUUCAAGAUAUAAAUCAUGACUAUCAACACUAAAUUUGCAGAAAUCUAAUCAACGCUUUAUCAAUCAACUCACAAUUACCAACCUUACCAUUUCACCAAUGAAUUUCAUUAAAUCAAACUGUAGCCACAUAAGUUACUUUCCCAAAAUCAUCAUACUUACUCAACUUAGUUACCAUGGAACAAAAAUCGUGCACACUGACUCACAACCAAGAACAAAUUUUUCCUGCUUUUUAAUUUUUUUCAUAGAACCCUUUUUUUUAGCACAGAUGAAUGUAUUUUCAUGCUUCUUUUUUCGUAUUUUUUUUUCUCUUGACAUGUGCAAUGUCUCCUUUUCCUAGGCUUUUCAGAGUUACCCAUUAACGAACUUUCCACCUACAGGCUUACUUAUUCAAGUAACAAAGGCCACAAAAGUCGACUAGUCAAGCUGCUUUUAUCCAUCGCACUUUUCAGCGUGAAUACCGAUGCUUCCCGAGGCUUAGAUACCCAGUUAUUUCGCACAAUAGACAUUGAAGCAGAUUUUCAAUUUUUUUUUCCUUUUUUUUUUCAUUCAUCAUUUUUUUCACAUGGUUCUGCAACAACAUAAGCAAGUUAAACAGUUCUAAGUCAUGAAAUCAGUGCACAUAGACAACUCCACAAAUAACUUAGCCAAAUAAACAUGCUUCUAAUAUUCAAGUACUAAUGUAUCACAAAUUCAAUUCAAAUCAAUUACUAUGGAUCAUGGCUUAGUUGUCAUCAUUCAUUAACAAAUUAAGCAUCAACAGAUUCUAAAUUUUAUCAUCAAUUUUCAAUCUUUGACUUUAACCUUCGAACACAUAAGCAAAUAGAACCAUGGAAACCAAGUUUUCAGUUUUUUUUUUUUAACUUUUUUUUUUUAACUUCCCAUCAAAAUUGGAUUAUUAUUCCUACGUAAAAUAAAACCAAAAUCUCCCCCCCACAAUCAAACCGUACAUUGUCCCCAAUGUAAGAAAAUCAUGCAAAGAAGAAAAUACUACUAGCAAACAUGCAAUAAAAACAAAAAACUAAAAAGUAAAGGGAUAGAAAAAUCAAAUCUGAGAUCUUGGGUUGCCUCCCAAGCAGCUGCCCGUGUUUAACGUCUUUGGCUCGACGUCAUGUCUCUCUUCUCAGCUUUCAUAGAUUGGAUUGUCUAGCUCCACCAUCUCAAUAUUUUCUACCUGACGCCCCUCAUAAAAAGGCUUUAAUCUAUGUCCAUUCACCUUAAAGAUCUUGCUUGUGCUCGGGCUUUGAAUCUCGACUGCACUAUGAGGAAACACAUUAGUGAUAACAAAAGGACCAACCCAUCUAGAUAUUAAUUUACCUGGAAAUAACUUAAGCCGAGAAUGAUAUAGCAAAACUUUUUGUCCCAUAGUAAAGGUUUUCCGCACAAUCUGCUUAUCAUGAAAAGCUUUGGUCUUUUCCUUGUAAAUCUUUGAACUUUCAUAGGCUUCAUUCCUCAAUUCUUCUAACUCUUGUAACUGCAAUUUCCUGUGUACCCCAGCUGCCUCCAAACUCAUGUUACACUGCUUGAUUGCCUAAAAAUCCCUAUGCUCCAAUUCAACAGAUAAGUGGUAUGGUUUUCCAAACACAAUCCUGUAUGGUGACAUCCCAAUAGGUGUUUUGUACGCCGUUCUAUAGGCCCAAAGUGCAUCAUCUAAUCUCAUACUCCAAUCAUUUCUGCUCGGGUUGACUACCUUCUCCAAAAUGGAUUUGAUCUCUCGGUUAGACACCUCAGCUUGACCAUUACUCUACGGAUGGUAGGAUGUAGAAACCUUGUGCAGAACAUUGUAUUUCUUGAACAAAGCCGCUAACACCCUGUUGCAAAAGUGGGUUCCGCGAUCACUAAUGAUGGAUCGUGGUGUUCCAAACCUGACAAAUAUGUCAGUCCUAACAAAAUCUGCAACAACUUUGGAAUCGUCAGUCCUAGUGGCUUUAGCUUCCACCCAUUUUGAGACAUAAUCAACAGCCAAAAGAAUAUAUAAAUUCCCAAAAGAUGAAGGAAAAGGUCCCAUAAAAUCUAUACCCCAAACAUCAAAAAUUUCAACAACUAAUAUAGGGGUUUGGGGCAUUUGAUUUCGUUGAGAAAUAUUCCCCGUCCUUUGGCAAUUAACACAUGUUUUACAAAACAGAUAGGAAUCUUUAAAAAGCGAUGGCCAAUAAAAACCACUUUCUAAAACUUUAUUAGCAGUUCUUUUUGGACCAUCCCAAACAUAGUGUCUAGCAUCACUUUUCAACUUUCCCUUUUUGGAUUUAGAAAAUUCUUUAGGAAAAUGUGCACUUACCAAAUAAUUCACUAUAUCUGCAUACCAGGGAAUCUCAGCAUGGAUAAAAAGUAACUGCUCAUCCGGGAAAGAAUCAUGUAACGGUAGCUCCUCUUCAUCUCUCAAUAACCUACUCAAGUGAUCCGCUACUAAGUUGUCCGCACCUUUCUUAUCCUUGAUCUCUAAGUCGAAUUCUUGUAGUAGCAGAAUCCAUCGAAUAAUCCUUGGUUUAGAAUAUUUCUUGGUGAGCAAAUACCUGAGAGCAGCAUGGUCAGAAUAAACUAUAACUUUAGUACCAAGCAAAUAAGAUCGAAAUUUAUCUAAAGUAAAAACCACAGAUAAAAGUUCUUUUUCAGUUGUGGAAUAGUUUAUCUGAGCCUCAUUCAAAGUCCUAGAAGCAUAGUAGAUGGCAUGAACGGCUUUGUCAAUCCUUUGUCCCAAAACAGCCCCCACUGCAUAGUUGCUUGCGUCACACAUGAUCUCAAAUGGCAUCUUCCAAUUUGGCGGUUGAAUGACAUGAGCAGAAAUUAAUAAUUUCUUUAAAGUGUCAAAAGCCUCCUUGCAUUCAUCAUCAAACUGAAAGUCCACAUCUUUUUGCAGCAACUUACAUAAGGGUAAUGCCAUCUUCGAGAAGUCCUUGAUAAAUAUUCGAUAAAAUCCUGCAUGACCAAGAAAAGAGCGAAUCUCCCGCACGCUGACGGGGUAAGGCAAAGCAGAUAUAACAUCUAUCUUAGCUUUAUCAACUUCAAGACCUUUAGAUGACACAACAUGACCAAGUACUAUUCCCUGUUCUACCAUGAAAUGACAUUUUUCCCAAUUUAAAAGAAGAUUAGUUUCCAUGCAUCUAUCUAGAACACGAUUUAAAUUAUCUAAGCAUGCAUCCACAGAAUCACCAUGAAUUGUGAAAUCAUCCAUAAAAACCUCGAUGCAUUCUUCUAAAAGAUAUGAAAAAAUGCUUACCAUGCAUCGUUGAAAAGUACUUGGGGCAUUACACAGUCCAAAAGACAUCCGUCGAUAGGCAAAAGUACCAAAGGGACAUGUGAAUGUGGUCUUCUCUUGGUCCUCGGGUGCAAUCACAAUCUGGUUAUAUCCUAAAAAACCAUAUAGAAAACAAUAAUAAGUGUGCCCAGCUAAUCUCUCCAAUAUUUGAUCAAUAAAAGGAAGAGAAAAGUGAUCUUUUCUUGUUACAGCAUUCAAUUUUCUAUAAUCUAUACACACUCUCCACCCUGUUUUCAUUCGUGUGGGCACCAACUCAUUAUCAUCGUUCUUGACAACGGUGAUUCCGAAUUUAUUUGGGACUACCUGUACUGGACUCACCCAUUGACUAUCGGAGAUGGGAUAGAUGAUACCGGCACCAAGAAAUUUGAGCACUUCUUUUUUCACCACCUCCAUCAUGGGUGGAUUCAAUCUCCUUUGCGCAUCUCUUGUAGGUUUAGCUCCAUCCUCUAACAAUAUCCGAUGCAUGCACAUGGUAGGACUAAUACCCUUGAUAUCCGCUAUUGUCCAACCAAAAACUGUAACAUGGUCCCUUAGGACUCUCAGCAAUUUUUCUUCCUGCACCUUGGUUAGAUUACUAGAAAUAAUUACAGGCAAAGUGUCAUUAGUCCCCAAAUAUGCAUAUUUCAAAUGAGCAGGUAAUUGUUUCAAUUCUAGAGUUGGGGCUUGUAUAACAGAAGGUAAUAACUUUUGAUGAGAAACAGGAAAUUGAAUAGAAUAUAUCGUUAAUUUAUUUGAGAAUUUUGGCAAUGAAUGUAAUGCAGCUACAUUUUCUUUCAAUUCUUGGGUUUGCGCAAUCUCUUCUUCCCUGUCCAUGUCCAAACUGUUGGUGAUUGCAAUUUCCAAAUUGUCCCUAUGUAGUUGUUUAAAAGCUCUAUGCACCAAGGAGUCUCUCACAUCGAUAGCAAAAACCUGUCCUAUAUCACUAGGGUACCUCAUGGCAUCAUAGAUGUUAAACUGAAUUUUCUCACCAUCAAACUCCAUAGUCAAGGUCCCAUUAUGCACAUCAAUCAUGGUUCUCGCUGUUUUUAGGAAGGGUCUUCCUAACAAGAUGUGGGAAGGAUUUGGUGAUGUAUCAUCUUCCAUAUCCACAAUGUAAAAAUCUGCAGGAAAGAUUAGUUCGUUCACCUGCAAUAAGACAUCUUCAAUUACCCCUCGGGGGUAGGUGUUAGUACGAUCUGCCAAUUGGAUAAUCACACCAGUAUUUUUUAAAGGGCCUAGAUUUAAGGAAGCAUAAACAGAUAAAGGCAUAACAUUAAUUGAAGCUCCUAAAUCUAGCAUGGCUUUUUCAAAUCUGGUGUUUCCUAUUUUGCAUGGGAUUGUGAACAUUCCUGGAUCUUUACAUUUAGGAGGCAUUUUUCUUUGAAGAACAGCAGAUACAUUUUCUCCAACUGUGACUCUUUCAUCAUUUUGCAAUUUUCUUUUAUUAGUGCAUAAUUCUUUUAAAAAUUUAGCAUACCGUGGUACUUGUUUAAUUGCAUCAAGAAGAGGGAUGUUCACUUCUACUUUUCUAAAAGUUUCCAAAAUUUCUUUUUCUUUUUCAUUGUUCUUUGAAGUUUUAGAAAUUCUGGAAGGAAAGGGAAGAGGAAUGUUUUUAAGCUGAUUAGGAGGUUUAGGUUGUACCUUGGAUUUUUCUGUUCCCUCCUUAGCUGCUUCCUUCUUGAACUCUACGGGGGUCGGUGGUGUAUCCAACUGUGUUCCAUUCCGUAAAGUUAUGGCACUUGCAUUCUCCCUUGGGUUGACUACUGUUUGAGAUGGUAAUUUUCCUGAGCCUCUAGAUUCCAAUAUCCCCACAGUUGUAGCCAGUUGUCCUACUUGGUUCCUCAAAUCUUGAACCGAAGUUUUUGUCUCUUGCUGGAACUGCUGUGUCUGAUUCAUGAACUGUUGUGUCUGUCCCAUGAAUGCUUUGAACAUAUCCUCCAAUGAUGUUCCAGUAGGUGCAGGGACUACUUGCUUCGGUUGAUAUUGAGGUUGGGUUGGUUGGAAGCCCUGCUGCCUAGGUGGAAAUGCAGGUGGUGCCGCUUGCUUGCUCCCAUAACUCAGACUUGGAUGAUCCCUCCAUCCUGGGUUAUAUGUGUUUGAGUACGGAUCAUACUUUUUCUGAGGUGGUGGCUGAUAAUUUCCCAUUGCAUUAGCUUGUUGCACAGCCUCGUCAUCUUGUAAUGUUGGGCAUUCAUCUGUAUUGUGAUUUGGUUGUAGACAUAUUCCACAAACCUUUGCAAUUGGCAAUUGACCUGUAGCUAAUUGUCUAACCAUAGCAGUUAAUUCAGAAAUUUGUUGACCAUAAUCACAAGUGCUUACCUCGCUUACCCUUACUGGUGCAUGAUUUGUUCUAGUGCCAUAUUGUUGCGAGUUUGCUGCCAUGUUUGCAAUUAAAUUCCUUGCCGCCUCUGGGGUCUUGUCAAAUAGUGCUCCUCCGCUAGCUGCAUCGAUCAUGCUUCUAUCCAUCGGUACCAACCCUUCGUAGAAAUAUUGGAUCAGGUGUUGUUCAUCUAUUUGAUGCGGUGGACAGCUAGAACAAAGCUUUU